GACGAACGCUGGCGGCGUGCCUAAUACAUGCAAGUCGAGCGGAUCUUCAUUAGCUUGCUUUUGAAGAUCAGCGGCGGACGGGUGAGUAACACGUGGGCAACCUGCCUGUAAGACUGGGAUAACUUCGGGAAACCGGAGCUAAUACCGGAUAAUCCUUUUCCUCUCAUGAGGAAAAGCUGAAAGACGGUUUCGGCUGUCACUUACAGAUGGCCCCGCGGCGCAUUAGCUAGUUGGUGAGGUAACGGCUAACCAAGGCGACGAUGCGUAGCCGACCUGAGAGGGUGAUCGGCCACACUGGGACUGAGACACGGCCCAGACUCCUACGGGAGGCAGCAGUAGGGAAUCUUCCGCAAUGGACGAAAGUCUGACGGAGCAACGCCGCGUGAGCGAUGAAGGCCUUCGGGUCGUAAAGCUCUGUUGUCAGGGAAGAACAAGUACCGGAGUAACUGCCGGUACCUUGACGGUACCUGACCAGAAAGCCACGGCUAACUACGUGCCAGCCGCCGCCGUAA
rnacentral:rRNA from 1 species